GCUGGUCGGUUUUAUUGUCUAUGAUGCGGAUUCUCGGAUCUUGCCAGUAAACUUGGAGAAACACGUCCAACGAUAUUUCCUAUAUUAUCCAUCCUAACAGUUAAUGUAUAAUGUCAAAUAGUAGUAUGAUUACAAUGUUUUUGCUGAGAUUGGCCGAAUUUUAAGAAGACUAUGAUUCGUAAAAUUUUAUUGCAUGAGAAGCAGUCUCUUGAUAAUGGAUGAUUCAUUACUAAUAUCUACCUCUCAAAAUGUGUUCGUACUGUUCAUAUAACUUUCAGAAACUGUUUCGAUGACUUCUGAGUGCCAAAAUAUCACCAUUUACUGUACGGUUGUGCGUUCCUGACUAUGAUGAUGGAAAAAAUAUUCGGUGAGUGAAUAGCAUUAGGUACUUAUUUAUAUUUGUCAAAUAAAGAAAUUGCUCAUAUUUCGAAGAAAUGUGGAAUUCGUGAAUUUGUUAGUUGAGAAAAAAAUUGUCAAAAAGUGUUGUUUGUUUUCAAAAAUUGCUAAAAAUUGUCUUUUUAUUGCAAAAAAGUUCAAAAAAAUAGUUAGCUAUCUCACUUUUUUCCCAAAAAUUGCACUGAAAUCUGCUUUGUUACCAAAAAUUUCCAAAUUGUCAGUCUCACUUUUUGUCAGAAUUUUCCAAAAAAAAAAAAAAAAAAAAAAUGCAAAUAA